UUUUUUUUCUGAGAGAGAGAAAGUUAGGAAUCUAUCGGCUUCAUUCUUUUUAAAGAUAUAUAAACUCAGUUAGAAAUGUGAAAUAAUUGAGUUUCAAAUUUGCGAUCUCUUGGUACCAACCAUCAAAUCUUUAUACAACUACAUUAGCUCCGAUAGGUGACAUAUCACUUAUAAUUAUUCUUCUCGACACUCUUGGUAAAAAUAAGGAGAUUUAUUACUUACACAAUAUGUUGUUGUAAAUUAACUGAGCAAAGGUUAUAUAUGUUUGUCAAUUAAAUAUAUACUAGAUGA
rnacentral:lncRNA from 1 species